rnacentral:rRNA from 1 species
AAAGGUGGCUAUAGCAUCGGGGAUCCACCUCUAACCAUUCCGAACAGAGCAGUUAAGCCCGAUCACGCACUAUGCAAAUGGGAGAGUAGGUAGCCGCCACUU